UAUUGAAAAAGGCAAACUUAUCGAAAGAUAAGGACGCAAAGCUACGAGUCUAAAGUCCUGUAGGAUAUGAUAGUCGGGUUGCCAAA
rnacentral:ncRNA from 1 species